CCCAGCAGCAUAUAAGAGCAAUCAGGACGCCGGAAAAAAAAGUCGCAAAGCAUGAUAGGAAAUGUCCCAACUGUCAGCCAGAGAUAAUUAUUCCAAAUUCCAGGAGUUCGGGAGACGACGUAGUGACAACUAUAAACUUAGAAUCUGGACUUGUUGAUUAAUCACAUUGGACAAGGAAAUCAGGCUGAAAGGUUAUGGAGUGAAAGAUGUACAGGUGUGUGAGUUUUUUCGUCGGAGAGGACAGACGAAAUUAAGGAUGACAAGGUGGUGCGUCGUUGUUCGUUGAGCAUCGGCUAUCCCUGCUGUUGGCCCUUUCAUUUUAGGUAAUGUAAUGCUUGGUAAGAUUUAUAUACCUCCAAAUCUCCAUUACCAUCCUUAUUAUUACAACUUUUAGCUUAAAAAAAAAGAUAAAAUAAAAAAUCAAAUCCUAUUACAAAUGAGCCUCAAAUAUACAUUUCAUUUCACUUUAGUCCCUCAUCAUCUUUAAAGUGUACCAAUUUCAUUCCUUAUAUAAUCCAAAAUCGUCCCAAUUGAAUCACAUAUUUUAAAGGUAUGUUACUAUGUUUAGUAGUAUAUCAAAGAGAAUUUAAAGAUAGAGAAUUUUUUUUCCUUU